GACUUGAAUUUGGAUAUAUUGACAGUUUUUGCAAUUGGGUUUCGAGAUGCACAUUUUCCUGUAUGUGGGUUUCAAGUGACAGUUUGACACAAUUUGGAAUUCAUAUUUUGUAUGCACCUGUUUCUCUUAACAGUGGGUUUCAUAUAGGCAUCAACAUUUGCAUAGUUGCUUUGCUUCUCAUGAUACCUGUUUUGAAUUUCAUAUCCCUCUCUAUGGACAGCUGUUUCGAUUUUCAUAUUCUUCUCGAUGCACAAGUGUUGAUUUUCAUAGAUGAUAAGACUUUUCCACAGCUUUUACUUUUCUCUAUAUAGAUAUCUGGGGUACAUUAUAAGCACUGGCAAUGAUAAGGAGGAGGAGAAAAGAAGCAUAUUUACACAUCACAAUUAUCAGGAAUUACACCAGGUGUUUAUUGUGUAGGUAAGUGUCUAUCAUGGGAUUUAUUAUCUAGGUAGGUGAAAUUUAACUGUAUACUGUUAGGUGGGGUGUGCUUAAUCAUAGAGAAGUGCUGUUUUAGAGUUGCAUUUGUAUUAGAAGAUAAAUGUUUUGGGCAAGUACUCAUAUAUUUCUAUUAAAAUUAUUGUUUGAAUCUUUUUUUUUAGUUUUAUUUUAAUAAAUAUUUAAUUGUUGUAUAUUUUAUUGAUAGAGAAAUUGAUAUAAAUUUAAAUCAUAAUUUUG